rnacentral:rRNA from 1 species
AGUGAACGCUGGCGGUAGGCCUAACACAUGCAAGUCGAACGGCAGCACAGUAAGAGCUUGCUCUUACGGGUGGCGAGUGGCGGACGGGUGAGGAAUACAUCGGAAUCUACUUUUUCGUGGGGGAUAACGUAGGGAAACUUACGCUAAUACCGCAUACGACCUACGGGUGAAAGCAGGGGAUCUUCGGACCUUGCGCGAUUGAAUGAGCCGAUGUCGGAUUAGCUAGUUGGCGGGGUAAAGGCCCACCAAGGCGACGAUCCGUAGCUGGUCUGAGAGGAUGAUCAGCCACACUGGAACUGAGACACGGUCCAGACUCCUACGGGAGGCAGCAGUGGGGAAUAUUGGACAAUGGGCGCAAGCCUGAUCCAGCCAUACCGCGUGGGUGAAGAGGGCCUUCGGGUUGUAAAGCCCUUUUGAUGGGAAAGAAAAGCAGCAGGUUAAUACCCCGCUGUUCUGACGGUACCCAAAGAAUAAGCACCGGCUAACUUCGUG